AGAGUUUGAUCCUGGCUCAGGAUGAACGCUGGCGGUCUGCUUAACACAUGCAAGUCGAACGGGAAUCUUCGGAUUCUAGUGGCGGACGGGUGAGUAACGCGUGAGAAUCUGCCUUCAGGACGGGGAUAACAGUUGGAAACGACUGCUAAGACCGGAUGUGCCGAGAGGUGAAAUAUUUAUAGCCUGAAGAUGAGCUCGCGUCCGAUUAGCUAGUUGGUAAGGUAAAAGCUUACCAAGGCGACGAUCGGUAGCUGGUCUGAGAGGACGAUCAGCCACACUGGGACUGAGACACGGCCCAGACUCCUACGGGAGGCAGCAGUGGGGAAUUUUCCGCAAUGGGCGAAAGCCUGACGGAGCAAGACCGCGUGGGGGAGGAAGGUUCUUGGAUUGUAAACCCCUUUUCUCAGGGAAGAACACAAUGACGGUACCUGAGGAAUCAGCAUCGGCUAACUCCGUGCCAGCAGCCGCGGUAAUACGGAGGAUGCAAGCGUUAUCCGGAAUAAUUGGGCGUAAAGCGUCCGUAGGUGGCUGUUCAAGUCUGCCGUUAAAGACCGGGGCUUAACCCUGGAAAGGCGGUGGAAACUGAACGGCUAGAGUGCAGUAGGGGUAGAGGGAAUUCCCAGUGUAGCGGUGAAAUGCGUAGAGAUUGGGAAGAACACCGGUGGCGAAAGGCUCUGCUGGACUGCAACUGACACUGAGGGACGAAAGCUAGGGGAGCGAAUGGGAUUAGAUACCCUAGUAGUCC
rnacentral:rRNA from 1 species